UAGACCCUUGCAGAUCUACUGCAAGACGUUUUAGGUCCGAAAAAGAAAAAAAAAACAAUUAACUAAAAUAAAUGAUGGCUUGACCCGUAGAAGUAAACAAAAGGUGACUUUUAUUUACAGUGUGCCGUAAAAAUAUCCAGUGGUAAGAGUAUGGUAUUUCCACAAGUGCUCAGUCCAAAAAAUAGCAAAGUACCAAAGUAAACCAUAAACAAAGUGCACAAACGAGUACUCACAGUAUACAAUAUGUCCAAUUUUGCUCACGGCACUGCACUAGCACGCUUGCUGACUUGCUAAACAAGUCUCCCGAUGUGAAGCUGGCCUCCCUUCUUAUAGGCCAGGGUCCACCCCCUACCUGGAGGGUACCACUAGUAGAAAAGAUAACAAAGUUCCCCCACAUACAAACAACAAUGGUUUCGUCGGACUAUGAUCGCAUUGCGCCGGCACGGCGCGGCAGUGACGUCAUAAGCGGGCGCCGCCCGAUCGUUUGGUUUGGCCGGCGCAACGUGGAAGUCUGACUACUCCCCACACACACAC